AGAGUUUGAUCCUGGCUCAGGAUGAACGCUAGCGGCAGGCUAACACAUGCAAGUCGCGGGGCAGCAUUUCCAGCUUGCUGGGAGAUGGCGACCGGGCACGGGUGCGCAACGCGUAUGGAACCUGCCUUGUACAGGGGAAUAGCCCAGGGAAACUUGGAUUAAUGCCCCAUGGCGCCACUUCGCGGAAUCGCGAUAUGGCUAAAGCCUUAGGGCGGUAUAAGAUGCCAUGCGUCCCAUUAGCUUGUUGGUGCGGUAACGGCGCACCAAGGCGACGAUGGGUAGGGGCCCUGAGAGGGGGAUCCCCCACACUGGUACUGAGACACGGACCAGACUCCUACGGGAGGCAGCAGUGAGGAAUAUUGGACAAUGGGCGAUAGCCUGAUCCAGCCAUGCCGCGUGCAGGAAGACCGCCCUAUGGGUCGUAAACUGCUUUUGUACGGGAAGAACAAGGGGCACGGGUGCCCCCCUGACGGUACCGUAAGAAUAAGGAUCGGCUACUCCGUGCCAGCAGCCGCGGUAAUACGGAGGAUCCGAGCGUUAUCCGGAAUUAUUGGGUUUAAAGGGUCCGUAGGCGGGCCGUUAAGUCAGGGGUGAAAGUCUGCGGCUCAACCGUAGGACUGCCCUUGAUACUGGCGGCCUUGAGUUAUGGUGAAGUGGCUAGAAUAUGUGGUGUAGCGGUGAAAUGCAUAGAGAUCACAUGGAAUACCGAUUGCGAAGGCAGGCCACUAACCAUAUACUGACGCUGAUGGACGAAAGCGUGGGGAGCGAACAGGAUUAGAUACCCUAGUAGUCC
rnacentral:rRNA from 1 species